UAGCCUGGAGAGCCGCCUCAAGCCCCGGUACUACGCGGUAAAGUUUCUCAAGAAAAAUGGAUUCGUCAAGUGCUUCCCGAGCUACUAUACAAUUUUCAAGAGGACCGACAAGGUAUUCGUGGAGAGGUACAUAUGCCCUCACAAGGAAGCUGCUCCCCACCUAUAUGAAGACUAUGUUGCCUCUUGCAAAGGGGAAGUAUCCACUAGAUUCUUAUCUGCUUGAACCAAGACCCUGACAUGGAAAUGUGGAACUUUUUGUGGCACUACAAAGUUUUCACUCCUUGGAGUAAUCUGAAAAACUUCAAUGAGGCUUAUGGCCACACUGGAUAGAAGAACAUUGGUCCUGGGCUUAACUAGUUCUAUUGACAAAUCACUUUCUUAUCUUAAAAUACAUCAGUCAUUACUGGAGCUUGAGAGUUCCAGAUGAUUAAGAUAUGGCAAAGUCCUUCAUGGGAUUGAAGGGGAAAAUGCAACACAUGUGGUUCCUUCUAUAAGCUAAACUGGGUUGCUGGAAUAAUUUUUCUUUAGGUAUUUGUCUACAUUUUCUUUAUAUUGUGUUUAUCUAUCCAUGAUGGCUCAUCUGUAUUGAUCAUCUUCAUGGAGCAAAUUUCCUUUGGCUAAGAAAAUUGUAGAGACAUGUGUUGAUUCUGCAAACAUUAGUUGCCGAGUAGCUUUCAGCAGCGAUUUAGCUUUAUUUGUGCCUAAAAGCUCGUCAACUACAUGCUGCAGCAUCAUGUCCUCCAAAUUCUGUCUAUGCAAUGCUUAUUUCCUUCUCUCAUUUUUGUAGUACUCGCUGAUUGCUAUGGCACCCUUAAUAAGUUGCUUACGCCGAUGUGAUUCCAUUUCAAAGUGGUCACGAAUUAUCCGAUGCUUUUUCGUAUGCAGAGAGCAACACACAUAGUAGUAUUUUGGUCUUACCACGAG